UGCAUAAAGUUGUCGCUUUUGAAAAAGUCAAAUUUGCAGCACACAUUAGAGUGUUUAAUGAUUUAACUGGACCCCUCCCCUCCUCCUGCCUUUUCCAUCAGCCUGUCCAUUCAUUUAGCAGUCUGUCCCAACGUCCUCUUCCAAAUGUGUUAAUUCGGCUGCAAAACGCUGAGUCAAGAAGGCGUCACAUUAAAUACAGUCUGGUAGUGGAGCGGAGCCAUGUUCGCAAGCCAGACAUGACUCACCGUCCUUGAACUAACAUCAAGCCAAAAGCUUGAUUCCAGAACAUGGAAUUACAGUAAUCCUGAGCCCCUUUCGCAAGGAUUUGGGGGAAAUUUUAAACAGCGCUGACAGAAAAAUUUCCUCGACUCUUCUUCUCAGCCUCGGAAUCUCACAGCUCUGCUGAAUGUUAAUUUCUGUGACGUAUUGAGCCACCAUGAAGACAGACAGCGUGGUGAAGUUCUCGGAGAUGGCAGCAAUGUGUGUGUACAUCCUCUCGACCAGCCGGGCGCACUGCAGUUGUAAGGCAGUCUUUAAAAAAGGAGUCCACGCUUGGUUGAACAAGGCAGUUGAGCAAGGCCCUGAGCGUCAGGUGAUGACAUCACCAACUCAACUGCUUUCUGCCAGGACUCCAACAUCUCAACACUCUGACCUAUACACCUUACCACUUGAGCUCACUUUCUGUUCCGCUUAACCUGCAUUGUGCAGUCCAGUCACAUCCUCCUCCUCUGUUUUCCUGCUUGCCCCCUCAGACUGCAGUCACGUUUACAUCACCAAACCUUUUCUUCCCUUUCUGCAUCACAACACUCUCUGACAGUCUCCCCAGGCAGUCGUUCAACUUUAAAAACAUCUGAUGUGACUUAGCAGGUUACUGCCUGCUUUAAUUCCCUCCAGCUGCACUGUUUAUUAAAGAGGUCCAAACAGGGAAAUACUUACCAUAGCCACAAAAUACCUGUACAUGAAUUUGUGUUGAAUCAUCAAGAUCAUCAAUGUCACAAAAACGUAUUUAUAAAGAUCCGAAUUGAGUGAAAUUGGAUCAUUUCCUGUUUGGGAAUCUCAACAAUAAAAGUGACAACAUUGA